UACGUAGGUGGCAAGCGUUGUCCGGAAUUACUGGGCGUAAAGCGCGUGUAGGCGGCAGCGUGUGUCGGGCGUGAAAUCCCACGGCUCAACCGUGGAAGUGCACUCGAAACUGCGCAGCUAGAGUCCUGGAGAGGAAGGUGGAAUGCUUGGUGUAGAGGUGAAAUUCGUAGAUAUCAAGCGGAACACCGGUGGCGAAGGCGGCCUUCUGGACAGUGACUGACGCUGAGACGCGAAAGCGUGGGGAGCAAACAGG
rnacentral:rRNA from 1 species